rnacentral:tRNA from 2 species
GCCUCUCUAGCUCAUUCGGUAGAGCACUUGACUCUUAAUCAAGGGGUGCCGGGAUCGAAGCCCGGGGGAGGCA